rnacentral:misc_RNA from 1 species
AAAAAAUUAUUGUCGAGACUGUAUGUGAUGUGUUUUACAUUUCAGUAUGAGCUACAAGCCUAGGGGCUCAAUGCCCCACAGACAGGAAAACUCUUUUGUAUAUAAGGUAACCAUACUGAACUCCGCUGACUGUGCAGUCAUCUCUGUAACAUUCAUGUGUUUUUAUUUGACAUACUGUAGGUAAAAUAGGUAAGAAAAGUUCCAAUUUUAUCUUAACAACAAUUUAAAAACAGUCAUUUCAAGAACGUUUACUUUAUUUUCAGUUUUUUCUUCAGAGGUCAUUAUUGUGUAAAUUUGUAUGUCAGUAUGUACACAAUUUAAAAUUCAAAACUAUUAUUUCAUAAUUGUAUUGUAUUCAAAGAUAUUGAAUAUUUGAAUAAAUUUAGUUUGCUCUAAAAAUAUAUUUCUAAAAAGAUUUUGGAACUUGUUUUGUUCCAGACAUGAUGGUAUAAAUACAGAAAAGUUUGAUCCUGAUUGUGAUAACUUCAGCUCAUGUGUCAAAGAUAAGUGAAAACCAAGAUGCUGCACUUUGAUUCAAUUUUUUCAAAUGAUAGGAAAAAAAACGUAUUUCCUCUUCAUUUGUUUCCUCUAGCCCCAAUGCAUAAAAAUCUUUUCUUACAUUUAUAUAUUUGCCAAGAUAUUAGGGGAAAAAAUAUCAGAUAUAUUAGAUAUAUUAUAGAAAAAAAUAAGAUAUAUGACUUUUUUUUUGGUAUAUGUUUUGAUUUCCAUGUUUUGUCUUUGUUAUGUAUUGAUUUCUUUGUAGUUUUGAAAUAAAUAUCUGAUGUC